rnacentral:sRNA from 1 species
AUGGACAUGAGUGGAUGACCCCGUGGAUUGGAACCACGGCACGGGAACCAGCGCCGUGGGCAUGGUGCGCUGACCCAGAGCAGCGGGACCGGACGGGGCCGGCCGGUGCAGUACAGCUUUUGCUGGGCUAGGCUCGACUGAUAUUUGGGGCAAUGAGGGGGAUUCUGUUCUGCUCUUUUCUGUUCUGUUCCUUUUUUUUUCUUUUUUUUGUCGAGAGUUAGUGCCAAGAAAUUUCAAAAUACGUUCUUAUCUGGAAGUAACGUAUGCUGUGGUUGUUCGGUGGAUACAUGUAUAUGCAGUUACCAGCAGCUUAAAACAAACAAAUAAAUAAAGAGGAAGAAAAUAUCAC